UACAGGGGGUGCAAACGUUGCUCGGAAUCAUUGGGCGUAAAGCGCGCGUAGGCGGUUGCUCAAGUCGGAUGUGAAAGCCCUCGGCUCAACUGGGGAAGCGCAUUCGAAACUAGGCAACUUGAGUUUGGAAGAGGGUCGCGGAAUUCCCAGAGUAGAGGUGAAAUUCGUAGAUACUGGGAGGAACACCGGCGGCGAAGGCGGCGACCUGGUCCGUGACUGACGCUGAGGCGCGAAAGCGUGGGGAGCAAACAGG
rnacentral:rRNA from 1 species